GCAAAAUCCUGCCCUUAAGAAGGAAAUGGGAACAGAAUGUCAGUUAAGUGACGCAAGUAUUAGGCCAGGUGGUCCACAAGCAGGAUUCUGAAGGCAGAGCUGAGACUGAUGCUGAUCCUGAUCCUACUCCCACUCCCUUAUACAUGGCACCUGCGUCCACACACAUGCUCCUCCUGAAAAAGAGAAGUCUUCUCAGCUGAACAGAGGCACUGAGAAUCAGUCUGGCAGAAGGGUUCAUCUACAGGAAAACAGAAGAAGUGCUACACUGACAUUGUCUUUCAAGCCCAGUGUUACUAGCUAAUAUCUUAUUCAAUUAUCC
ensembl:lncRNA